rnacentral:tRNA from 1 species
GAAGAUAUAGCUCACGUGGUAAAGUGCAUUUCUAGCAUGCAUGAGGUCCUGGGUUCAAUCCCCAAUAUCUCCU